UACGUAGGGUGCAAGCGUUGUCCGGAAUUAUUGGGCGUAAAGAGCUCGUAGGCGGUCUGUCGCGUCGGCUGUGAAAUCUCGGGGCUCAACCCCGAGCCUGCAGUCGAUACGGGCAGACUAGAGUGCUGUAGGGGAGACUGGAAUUCCUGGUGUAGCGGUGAAAUGCGCAGAUAUCAGGAGGAACACCGGUGGCGAAGGCGGGUCUCUGGGCAUUUCCUGACGCUGAGGAGCGAAAGCGUGGGGAGCAAACGGG
rnacentral:rRNA from 1 species